UCAAAGUUUUCUGUGAGCUAUACAAGGCGCUGUCAAAAUAUACAAGUUUUCUGUUUUGAACAUCCAAUAGUACGUGAUGAUGCCCUAAAUAGACAGUCAAGCGAAGCUGCGCAGUUCUGAGAACAGCUUAAGGCACAAAACUGUGAAUCGUUGGCCAUCGUUCGAGUAAAACACAUAUAUCAUGAAGUUCAGCGUUAACGAAUCUAAUUAGGAAUACAGUGGUUAUUGUAUGUAUAGACCUCAUAAAUAAACGAUGGCGUGUAGAAUGAAAAGAUUUUGGUGCGAUUGCUCACUUCAAACGGCUACAAAAUUCAUCGGCUGUGUCGAUAUGAUUCAUUAACAGCUGGUAAACGUGACGAUUGGUGUCUUACUCUCCACCAGGACGGUUGUUAACGGACCCAAUGAUAUUAUGUAUGCUACCGCUACUUUCGCAUUUGUACUGGUAAUGUUUUCUAUUCUGCUCAUCUAUGCCGCCCGAUGUCGCCGCCACCAACUUGUGUUACCGUGGUUGAUCGUGCAAUUGCUUGAAAGGUGUUUCAUAGCCGUGUUUAUUGCGGUAGGACUUGUAAGGCACGCACUCGGCGUGGUGCCCAUCAUUCUUAUUUUGUUUGCCUUAAUUUUUGCGUUUUACCUGUGGUGGGUGGUUGGCUGCUUUUACCUUGAACUGACAGACCAAGAGAGAGCUGAUGUAACUCAUACUGAUUCGCAAUCUCGAGAAUUGGAACACGAAGAAAAUGCAUAGAUUAACGGAAUAACAAAUGCCAUGAAAGUACAACUUAUGAUGACAUCCUUUGUCGCGGGGAAAAAAUAAAAUGUGUUUACUAAUGAA